ensembl:lncRNA
AGGCUCUCUGGAAUGGGAAUCUCAGCUUUGCUUCUCACUAGCUACAGGAUCAUGUCUUAGUUCGUGUUCUGCCACUAUAACAAAAUAGCUAGGGCUGGGUAUUUUACAUAUUGAAGAGGCUUAUUUAUCAUAUGGUUCUGGAAGUCCAAGAGCACAAUACCAAUUUUUCUCAGCUCUGGCUUCUCUUCACAGCCCCCUUGGCUGUACUGAAUCACAGUGGAGACAUUAUGGCAGGACUGCAUGCUAGAGGGACAGAUCACCCAGUGAGACAGGAAGUCAGACAAGUCCAGGGGCCAGCUUUGCUCUUUUAUCAACCUGCUCAUACAGGAACUAACCAUAAUUUUGUGAAAACCACCUUAAAUCCUUCUGAGGGCAUCGUUUCCAGUGUCCUAACCUUAUGCUACACCUCUUAUAGUUCCCACCACUUUUUAAUGCUGUCAUUACCAGGAACCACGCUUCCAGCACAUGAAACUUUGGAGACCCCCUCAAACUAUAUCCAAAUCACAGCAGGCUAUGGAGAGCAUACCAGGCAUGUGAUUUCCUAUGAACCUACAGUCAUUUGCAUUACAAGUGGUCAUGGUCCCUGUCUAUCGGAAGGUAGGUUUUGUAGAACCUGUCAUUUCCUGGGAAAUUGUUCUCCAUCUCAUUUCAUGUUGGGUGAGUCCUUUUCUCACAGAAUAGACUAGACUCGAUGCAACAGGAAACACUGAGAAUCAAUUCUUUGUUAUUAUAGACCCUAUUCCUGCGUCCCGGUAGGAGACCAUCAACCAGAAACUUUUUGCAAAUCCUCCGAAGGGGACAGAAGCAAUGAGAGCUGCUCUUGCUCCCUCGAUGCAGUAGUGUAGCAUUUACUCACUUCUGUAAUAACCCGAAAUGGUCUAGUGUUAGCAUUCUUCGAGCAGUUGGCAAUUAUAGUCAGAGAUUGUUGUUAAUUUUUUUUAAAGCAGCUUAUGGCAGUGACAAAAAAAUGAUUGCUUCUGAAAAUUCAUGGAGUGUCAGCUUCGUCCACCAUCAUGGAGAAUACUAUUAAACUGUGAGGCACUGAGAAAAUGAAGCAAGAAAUAUCAAGCAGCUGUACUGAGAGUGGAGUCCAAAGAUUCAGAGCUGAGGGAGAGCAUAUUGGCAUCCAAUAUAUCACAUCUUCACUGACCGACUCUCUCUUUCUCUGUUUCUUUUCUAUUUUUCAUUCUCAGAACACUCCAGGGCAAUGUGAGCCCCAGCUUCAGAACACAGUGCCAAAAGAGAACUCACCUAACCUGUGGUUGUCCUGCUUCAGGACAUGUCGAGGGUCACUGCAUUGCAGCUGGGACAGAACAAACUCAUCCUUGGCCACAGGUCCACAGGAAUAUCUUCUCUGGAAAGCUGUGACGGACAGGUUGAGAGAAUUGCUAUUGCCAGUGGAUCUCACUGAAUGGAUAAAAACUCUGGAGGCUGCAAUAAGAGGGUGGCAACACGUGAACUGGUACUCUUCCUAAUAAACGCUUCUGCUUCCAGCCGGCUGCACAGUCAUGAAGGGUAAACAAGCGGUGUUCCGAAGGGGACUGUCGAUCCUCUUUUGUUGCCAGUUCAGAGAGUCCCGGUGGCUGAGUAUCAGAGUGUUCCAUCUCAUUUGCCCUUGGUGUUGCUGUAGGUAAUCUGGAAGUCUGUUUUUGAGGUUUGUUUAUGUGUCUUCUCAUUUCCACGGGGGGGGGGGGGUGCCUCUGGCGCCCACGCGGCUCACCUUCUCUGCCCUAGGAGCUUGGGAUGGCAGUGGGGAAGCUUCCUUCUGGGUACUGGGACCGGCUCAGCUUCUCUGCCCUAGGAGCUUGGGAUGGUGGCGGG